UGAAGAAAUUCGAAGACCAGCAGAACAAAAGUCACACUUGUUGCCUGGAAGAGAAAUAUACAUUUGUUUGUAAGCAGCCUGCAGGUAAUAAAGCCAUUAAAGUGAAAGCAGCCCAUUGGCAGGAUGGGUAUCAGUCGAAAAGAGAAGAGGGUAUCACCUCCAAGAGGAGAUGCCUGGGAGAGAAAGAGAGAGAUCGCUUUGUCUAAAACCCUUGCAAAAAUGCUAAUGGAAGUAGGAGAGUCUUAAUCUGUGGAAUGCUUCUGCAGAUUAAAUUCUAACCAUGGAGGAUGUAUCGGCUGAGGAUUGUUGGCCAAAUUAACUGUCACGACAGAUUUCAGAUGGGACUUGAG